rnacentral:rRNA from 1 species
AUGAACGCUGGCGGCGUGCCUAAUACAUGCAAGUCGAGCGAACGGACGAGAAGCUUGCUUCUCUGAUGUUAGCGGCGGACGGGUGAGUAACACGUGGAUAACCUACCUAUAAGACUGGGAUAACUUCGGGAAACCGGAACUAAUACCGGAUGAUAUUUUGAACCGCAUGGUUCAAAAGUGAAAGACGGUCUUGCUGUCACUUAUAGAUGGAUCCGCGCUGCAUUAGCUAGUUGGUAAGGUAACGGCUUACCAAGGCAACGAUGCAUAGCCGACCUGAGAGGGUGAUCGGCCACACUGGAACUGAGACACGGUCCAGACUCCUACGGGAGGCAGCAGUAGGGAAUCUUCCGCAAAGGGCGAAAGCCUGACGGAGCAACGCCGCGUGAGUGAUGAAGGUCUUCGGAUCGUAAAACUCUGUUAUUAGGGAAGAACAUAUGUGUAAGUAACUGUGCACAUCUUGACGGUACCUAAUCAGAAAGCCACGGCUAACUACGUG